AAAAAAAAAAUAAUGAUGAUGAUGAUGAAAGUUAUCACACUCAAACCUAAGCAACCUCUUUGACAAGCUCUAGUUGCAGAAAUGAAUGGAAGAAAUGGAAGAGUUGGGAUUUCUCAUGAGGCGGAGAAAGGAGAACUCCAGAUCAAGUCGAACUGUGUGUGACUCAGGGGCCCGGAGAAAAGGAUUUACAGGGCCACCUUGCACAGCGCAGCUAGGCUGUGACUUGAAGAGGACUCCAAGGAGACUGUAACUGUGGCCAGUGUGGGACAGGACUCCUGCCCAGGCCUCAGCUUGGCUCAGAAGUCAAAUUAAGGUCACAGAAGCAGGCAGAAUGACUUCCUAUAGAAGGACACAGCCACAGAUGCAAGAAGCUGCUUGCUACCUUCUAAAUCUCCGUAUCACUUGUAAGCAGCAUCCUAGAGAAGGUGAAACGGACACAAAGAAGGCUUCCUUUAAUCACCUUGGUACCUUCAAAGCCCUGGGAGUGCUGAUGCCCAGGAACCAGAGGAAAAUACAGGAAUUGAUUCAUGCAGAAUACAACCCACCAACCCCAGGAGGGAGGGGCUUUCCUGAAAUACAUGAGUGUCUCUGGUUUCACAUGACGCUGUGUAUGGUUUAUCCUUCAUAAACCACAGGAGGCUGAAAAUGGUCAUUUCCUGGCCCUCCAAAGGUGGUUUUCCAGUGAGGACUGCAUUCUGACUAAUCAAUGUUGCUUUUUCCCCUCUCUGAGUCUUCCUGCUGCACACAGACACAGAGCUGACUUACGCUUUGGGGGUGGGGAGUAGAGAGAGGCCUGUGGAGAGCUACUUCCAGUCAGUCUU
rnacentral:lncRNA from 1 species